UACAUGUUAUGAAUAAACAGUUAAAUUAGGACUAAAGAUCCAAUCCAGCACCAGCAAUAAAUGCAUUACGAUUAAUAUUAAUGAGAUGGCUCACUUGAACACGCCCCGUCAAUGGUCUACAGGGCGCCACGCUGGCCCCGCCCCUCUAUAAAUUCUCCACUGGCUCCACCCUCUUAUCCAUCACGACGCUGUUCGUUCAGGUUGUCAGACUGUCAGUCAGAACCUCUGCCUCUCUGAUGAGAUUAAUGUAUAAAUAAGAAGCGUGGAGUGCACAUAUGACUUACUUAUAACAAGAAAAAAAGCGGAUUAUGGCGGAAAAUCCUCCGAGUGGAGUUUAUUUAUCGAGAACGGGAUUGUAUGAUGCCCCGGUGAGAGGAGCCGUUGACAGGAGAUGAGCUCGAGACUUGAUGCGCUCGCGCUAAAAGAGUGUGACAGGAAUCAGCUCAGCUAACGGCUAAUAACAACUCUGUCUGUUCAUGAGGAAACUUCAGCUGCCUGUGUCUCACUCUGUGCUGUAGCUGAACGUUUCAGAGUGAAAAGGAGAAGAAUGGAGAAGAUCUGCACCGAGCGCUCGUACCCGUCUCAUCACCGGCUCUCGGUCCGGACCUCGGACGAUGAACUGGACCGACUCGAUAACGGCGCCGGCAGUCUCAGGACGCACUCGAUAUGCGACGACGCCGUCUCUGACAUGAACACGGUAAUGUCCAGUCAGCUCCAGGAGUCUCGCAGGAGCUCGUUCACUGGGGCAGGGGCCAUGGCCAGGCUGUCCCACUUCCUGUUUAUGCUGAGGAACUGGGCGUCCCGCAGGCUGCAGCCCGAGGUCGAGCGGCCCGACUCCUUCAUGGAGCGAUUCCGGGGUCCCGAGCUCAAAGACCUCUCCAGCCGCGGCAGCAACGCCCGCUCCUCCCUAGGCCACCCUGAGCUGCCUCACAAGAGGAAUCGCUGGCCACUCGCACUUUACAAUACGAACAACUCCAACAACACAGACGACAAAAAAGAGGAAACAAAGAAAGAUGAGAAAAAAGAUGGGGAGAAGAAGGAAGAGAAAAAAGAUGAAAAGAAAGACGAUAAGAAGGAUAAGAAAGAUGAUAAAAAGACAGAAGAGCCUCAGAAGAACUUGUGGGUCAUGGAUCCAGCCACGGACACAUACUAUCGAUGGCUGCUGAUAAUAGCAGUGCCGGUGUUUUACAACCUGAUGAUGCUCGUAACGAGAUCGUGUUUUAACGAGCUUCAGGACUCGUACACGACUGUGUGGGUGAUACUGGACCUCUCAUCAGAUGUGAUCUACUACCUGGACACAUUUGUGAGAUCAAGAACAGGUUUCCUAGAACAAGGACUUCUGGUGAGAGACACCAAGAAGCUGAUGGAGAACUACAGAAAAACGGCACAGUUUAAAUACGAUGUUUUCUCUAUGCUCCCGACGGAUAUAUUCAUGAUCAAGGUGGGAUACAACAACCCCGAACUACGCUUCAACCGCCUGUUCAAAAUGGCGCGUCUCUUUGAGUUCUUCGAUCGGACUGAGACCAGAACUAACUAUCCCAACAUCUUCCGUAUCAGCAAUCUCGUACUUUACAUCCUGAUCAUCAUCCACUGGAAUGCCUGCAUUUUUUUCGCCAUUUCCAAAACCAUCGGCUUCGGGACGGACACGUGGGUGUAUCCGAACAUCAGCCAUCCGGAAUUUGGGCGCCUGGCGAGGAAAUAUAUCUACUGCCUGUACUGGUCCACGCUCACGCUCACCACCAUCGGAGAAACCCCACCUCCAGUCAGAGACAUCGAAUAUUUGUUUGUGGUCACCGACUUCCUCAUCGGAGUACUGAUCUUCGCUACUAUCGUCGGUAACGUGGGCGCGAUGAUCUCCAACAUGAACGCGUCGCGCGCCGAGUUCCAGGCCAAGAUCGACUCCAUCAAGCAGUACAUGCAGUUCCGAAAGGUCACCAAAGAUCUAGAAGCGAGAGUCAUCAAGUGGUUCGAUUACCUCUGGACGGAGAAGAAAACCUGUGAUGAGAAGGAGGUGCUGAAGAACCUUCCAGACAAGCUUAAAGCGGAGAUCGCCAUUAAUGUCCAUCUGGACACACUGAAGAAGGUGCGGAUCUUCCAGGAUUGUGAAGCCGGACUGCUUAUCGAACUGGUCCUAAAACUUCAGCCUCAAGUCUUCAGCCCUGGAGAUUACAUCUGCAAGAAGGGCGAUAUCGGACGAGAGAUGUACAUCAUCAAAGAAGGGAAGCUCGCCGUGGUGGCAGACGACGGCAUCACGCAGUUCGUUGUGCUCAGCGAUGGCGCGUACUUCGGAGAAAUCAGCAUCCUCGGGAUCAAAGGCAGCAAAGCCGGGAACAGGAGAACCGCCAACAUCCGCAGCGUGGGCUACUCCGACCUCUUCGCUCUCUCCAAAGACGACCUAAUGGAGGCACUGACCGAGUACCCCGAAGCCAAAAAGGCACUGGAGGAGAAGGGGAGGGCUAUCCUGAGGAAGGAUAACCUCCUGGACGAGGUGGCGGCCAACGCCGGGGCCGACCCCAAAGAUCUGGAGGAGAAGGUCUUACGAUUAGAGAGCAACCUCGACAUAAUGACCACCAAGUUCGCCAGGCUGCUAGCGGAAUACACGUCCUACCAGUGCAGGAUCAAGCAGAGGAUCACCAACAUGGAGAACAAAGUGAAGAAGCUGAGGGAGGAAGAUCUCUCUGAGGUGGUCGCCGAUAAAAAGGAGGAGGAGAAGAAAACCAAAUAGUCGACACAUCCUGGAAUAUAGGCAGAAGUUUUGUUAAUACAUUUUGGUUAUAUGUAACUUUGUAUAUAAGACGAGUACAAGACCCAGACUGUAGAUCUUUAAAGUUACCUGUAAAGGCGUACUCCAGUGUUUUCCAGCCUCCGCUGCAUCUCUUUACACGCUCUCACCUGACUGUUACAAAGCGCUGACACUGGAGACUCCUUCCAUAAAUGAAUCCAGAAGCACUAUGGUACUUUUGAGUGCAGCAGUUCAGGAGAAUGAGGUGAGGGAGUGAUGAGAGAGGAGGAAAGAAAAGGAGAAAACAGGUCGUACAUGAGAGGGUUCCCGAACAGGUCCGUCUGGGAGAUCUGGAAGGUUAUCAUCAUGUCGUCCUCCACGUUGCCUUCAUACUCCUGCAGUUCCUUCAGACUCUGAUGUAGAAUCUGACCA